ACAAGUACCGUGAGGGAAAGUUGCAAAGCACUUUGAAGAGAGAGUUAAAGAGGACGUGAAACCGGUGGGGUGGAAACGGAUAGAGCUGGCGUAUCUGACAUGUAUUCAACCUUUUCAUUGCCACGGCUUAGAUUUUGAUCUCCAGAUUGGGCACUUUCCGAGUCGUUGGUGGUGGUACGGUGCAUUUGCAUGUGUAGUGCGUAGAGGCGUCAGGGACUGAGGUGUGAUCUCGGUUUUGAGGCCAGAUUUCUGGUACCCAAACUUUGGAAGCGCCUUUUCUUCCGGACGUUUUGUUGCAAGGCUUUCGAGUCCGAUUGGAAUCGAACUGGAGGUCGGUGGCGGUCGCAUGCGGCACGUGCUGUUCAAACAGUUCGGUCUUGGUCGAGCUCUCGUGCAGUCUCUCUACGUAAAAGCCGGUCACCUAUCCGACCCGUCUUGAAACACGGACCAAGGAGUUUAUCGUGUGCGCGAGUCAUUGGGCUUUUAAAACUCAAGGACGGAAUGAAAGUGAAGUGCCUCGCAAGAGGUUGACGUGUUAUUCCAAGCUUUUCGGAGCAAGGAAGCAGCAUGGCCCCAUCCUGACUGCUUGCAGUGGGGUGGAGGAAGAGCGUAUGCGGUGAGACCCGAAAGAUGGUGAACUAUUCCUGAGCAGGAUGAAGCCAGAGGAAACUCUGGUGGAAGUCCGAAGCGGUUCUGACGUGCAAAUCGAUCGUCUGACUUGGGUAUAGGGGCGAAAGACUAAUCGAACCAUCUAGUAGCUGGUUCCUUCCGA
rnacentral:rRNA from 1 species